GACGAACGCUGGCGGCGUGCUUAACACAUGCAAGUCGAACGGAAAGGCCCUGCUUUUGUGGGGUGCUCGAGUGGCGAACGGGUGAGUAACACGUGAGUAACCUGCCCUUGACUUUGGGAUAACUUCAGGAAACUGGGGCUAAUACCGGAUAGGAGCUCCUGCUGCAUGGUGGGGGUUGGAAAGUUUCGGCGGUUGGGGAUGGACUCGCGGCUUAUCAGCUUGUUGGUGGGGUAGUGGCUUACCAAGGCUUUGACGGGUAGCCGGCCUGAGAGGGUGACCGGCCACAUUGGGACUGAGAUACGGCCCAGACUACAACGGGAGGCAGCAGUGGGGAAUAUUGCACAAUGGGCGGAAGCCUGAUGCAGCAACGCCGCGUGCGGGAUGACGGCCUGCGGGUUGGAAACCGCUUUCGCCUGUGACGAAGCGUGAGUGACGGUAAUGGGUAAAGAAGCACCGGCUAACUACGUG
rnacentral:rRNA from 1 species